CAGCCGUAAACGAUGCGCGUUAGGUGUAUCGGUGACCACGAGUCACCGAGGUGCCGAAGGGAAACCGUGAAACGUGCCGCCUGGGAAGUACGGUCGCAAGGCUGAAACUUAAAGGGAAUUGGCGGGGGAGCACCACAACGGGUGGAGCCUGCGGUUUAAUUGGACUCAACGCCGGGAAGCUCACCGGAUAAGACAGCGGAAUGAUUGCCGGGCUGAAGACUCUGCAUGACUAGCUGAGAGGAGGUGCAUGGCGUAGUCGUGU
rnacentral:rRNA from 1 species